UAAGGAGGAUGCGAGCGUUAUCCGGAUUUAUUGGGUUUAAAGGGAGCGUAGGUGGAUUGUUAAGUCAGUUGUGAAAGUUUGCGGCUCAACCGUAAAAUUGCAGUUGAAACUGGCAGUCUUGAGUACAGUAGAGGUGGGCGGAAUUCGUGGUGUAGCGGUGAAAUGCUUAGAUAUCACGCAGAACGCCGAUUGCGAAGGCAGCAUACCGGCGCCCAUCUGACGCUGAGGCACGAAAGCGUGGGGAUCGAACAGG
rnacentral:rRNA from 1 species